GAUGAACGCUGGCGGCGUGCCUAAUACAUGCAAGUCGAGCGAAUGGAUUAAGAGCUUGCUCUUAUGAAGUUAGCGGCGGACGGGUGAGUAACACGUGGGUAACCUGCCCAUAAGACUGGGAUAACUCCGGGAAACCGGGGCUAAUACCGGAUAACAUUUUGAACCGCAUGGUUCGAAAUUGAAAGGCGGCUUCGGCUGUCACUUAUGGAUGGACCCGCGUCGCAUUAGCUAGUUGGUGAGGUAACGGCUCACCAAGGCAACGAUGCGUAGCCGACCUGAGAGGGUGAUCGGCCACACUGGGACUGGGACACGGCCCAGGCUCCUACGGGGGGCAGCAGUAGGGAAUCUUCCGCAAUGGACGAAAGUCUGACGGAGCAACGCCGCGUGAGUGAUGAGGGCUUUCGGGUCGUAAAACUCUGUUGUUAGGGAAGAACAAGUGCUAGUUGAAUAAGCUGGCACCUUGACGGUACCUAACCAGAAAGCCACGGCUAACUACGUGCCAGCCGCCGCAGUAA
rnacentral:rRNA from 1 species